rnacentral:rRNA from 1 species
GAUGCAACGCGAAAAGCCUUACCUACCCUUGACAUGUCCGGAAUCCUGCUGAGAGGUGGGAGUGCCCGAAAGGGAAUCGGAACACAGGUGCUGCAUGGCUGUCGUCAGCUCGUGUCGUGAGAUGUUGGGUUAAGUCCCGCAACGAGCGCAACCCUUAUCAUUAGUUGCUACGCAAGGGCACUCUAAUGAGACUGCCGGUGACAAACCGGAGGAAGGUGGGGAUGACGUCAAGUCCUCAUGGCCCUUAUGGGUAGGGCUUCACACGUCAUACAAUGGUCGGUACAGAGGGUUGCCGAGCCGCGAGGCGGAGCCAAUCCCAGAAAGCCGAUCGUAGUCCGGAUUGUUCUCUGCGACUCGAGAGCAUGAAGUCGGAAUCGCUAGUAAUCGCGGAUCAGCAUGUCGCGGUGAAUACGUUCCCGGGUCUUGUACACACCGCCCGUCACAACCAUGGGAUGGAUGAAGUAGGUAGCCUAACCCGCAAGGAGGGCGCUACCACGCUGUU